GACGAACGCUGGCGGCGUGCCUAAUACAUGCAAGUGAAGUUCAGUGGCGGACGGGUGAGUAAUACGUGGGUAACUGCCUUUCACAGGGGAAUACCACUGGGAAACCAGUGCUAAUACCGCAUAGUGAAAGAUGCCUCGCGCCUGAUUAGCUAGUUGGUGAGGUAAUGGCUCACCAAGGCGACGAUCCCUAGCUGGUCUGAGAGGAUGAUCAGCCACACUGGGACUGAGACACGGCCCAGACUCCUACGGAGGCAGCAGUGGGGAAUAUUGCACAAUGGGCGCAAGCCUGAUGCAGCCAUGCCGCGUGUAUGAAGAAGGCCCUAGGGUUGUAAAGUACUUUCAGUCGGGAGGCGUUACCGACAGAAGAAGCACCGGCUAACUCCGUGCCAGCAGCCGCGGUAAUUC
rnacentral:rRNA from 1 species